rnacentral:rRNA from 1 species
UGUGGUGGCGAUAGCGAGAAGGAUACACCUGUUCCCAUGCCGAACACAGAAGUUAAGCUUCUUAGCGCCGAUUGUAGUGAAGGGUUUCCCUUUGU